rnacentral:ncRNA from 1 species
GGGUUCGGGAAUAUUUUUCUCGAAGGGUUUUUCUUAAUGGUCGGGCCGCCAUUU